CAGUAGCCACGGUAAUACGUAGGUGGCAAGCGUUGUCCGGAAUUAUUGGGCGUAAAGGGCUCGCAGGCGGUUUCUUAAGUCUGAUGUGAAAGCCCCCGGCUCAACCGGGGAGGGUCAUUGGAAACUGGGAAAUUUGAGUGCAGAAGAGGAGAGUGGAAUUCCACGUGUAGCGGUGAAAUGCGUAGAGAUGUGGAGGAACACCAGUGGCGAAGGCGACUCUCUGGUCUGUAACUGACGCUGAGGAGCGAAAGCGUGGGGAGCGAACAGGAUUAGAUACCCGGGUAGUCCCUGUCUCUUAUAC
rnacentral:rRNA from 1 species